GCAGUACUACCUUGCUUACAAUAAAUGGCUAAUCUUUUUGUUAUCUCUUUAUCUUCCAGGGUGGCAUACUUGAUGUUGACUUAUGUGGACCAAGUAUUCCAAGGAUGAUGAAUGUAGAAGGAAAAGAUAUACACCAGUGUUGGGUGUUUACAAGUAUUUUCAAGAGAUCACAGUGAACCUUUCCUUUUGGUUGGGUUCCAGUUUACACAGACAAGGACCAACGGAAUGUCAAUUGGUUUCUUGUUAUUAAAUAAGAGAUGAUGCUGCUGUGUGGAGAGGACCUAAGAAAAAUGCAAUGAUCAGGCAGUUUCUAUUGGAUGUAUGUUGGGGUGACCUGGAUUACCAGUAUGGAUACACCUCCAGGAACAUCUGAUGAGCACAUAAAUGAUUACAAUUAGUAGAAAGUCUGCAACAUCCAGAGGGAGCAAUUUUUGUCACUACCCCUCAGGGUGUGGCAUUGUCUGAAGUUAGGAGAGAACUAACAUUGUGCAAGAGAACUAAAAUCCCAAUCCUAGAGUGGUGGAGAACACAAGUGGAUUUGUCUGUCCUCAUUUGUAAUAAAUGUACAAACGUGUUUCAAAAGGAGGAGGUGAAGCCUUGGCAAAGAGCUGCAAUGCUUCAUUUUUAGGUAAAAAUACUUACUAGCGUCAGUGACUACACAGGAAGGGGGAUAGAGGUGUCAGGAAAAAUCUAGAUCAUGUUUCAUGGGAAAUGGUCUUUUCACCAUUUAUUGCACUUGUCUAUGUUAAAAAAAAAAAACAAGCAGCUAAGUGUAUUGUUUGGAAAUGCAAAGGUCUCGUUUGUUGGAAGCUUAAGGAAUGUCAACUAAAUUAUUUGUUGUGUCAAGCUUAUCACAAGGGGUCUUUGCAAAUUGCAGACAAUUCUCACUGAUGUGAUGUGUUCAAUUUGACAUUGAAAUCCGUCAGUUUUCACAGAGGAGAGUCUUCUAGCUAUAUCUUGCUUUCAGCUCUUGAAAGAAUAAUUUUUUCCUUCUUUGUAGGUUCUAUUCCACUG